CAGAAGAAUGAGAUGCCUGAGGUUGAGGGCAAGGCCAUUCCUCUCAGGUGCCUUGUAAAGCUGCUCUUGGCAGCAAUGCUGGCACCUCACAGUCCCUAAUCUGGCUCUAUCACUGUUAAAAAACUGCACUGGACAAUCCACCCUUGUGCCCUUUUUAUUCUUUCUAGCCCCAAGUAAAGAGCAUUUCUAUUUUUAGGACCUUGCAGAUUCCCCAAGGCUCCACUGCCCUGCUACUGCGAAAGUGGUGGGACAGCAAGCAGACAGUUCUACAGACUGGCUAAACCUCGAGCCACAAACCUGAGGACAGUUCUCACACUGGGUCCUGGGAGCACCACCUCGGUGUAGCUUGCUUUACUGAGGCAUAAGGAAUGAGAUAGACAAUGUGGAUGUAAGGUAUUUUCAGUGCAUGCUCUGUUUCCUGGAUAGUCUCCUAUCAAACAAGAAUUCACAACAAUGGACUAAGAAGUGGCACUUGAAUACCUACCUACCCAUGGGACUUCAGUUGAAGACAUACAUUUUUACACAGAUGCAGGAGGCCUUGCCUGAACUAUUUCUAUUAAUACUGGCAAACAUAGUAAUUCUACGGGCCACAGCUUGGGCAUUCUGUUACUAUGCCCCACCAAGCCUGUAAAAACUUAUGCUAAAUCUAUUUAGGUAAUUCAAGCUCUAUGGGUCAGUCUAGUUUAGAUGCACCUAUGUACUGAAAUGAUUAUGUUUGUAUAAUUUGUGUAUUUAAUUUAGUAAAAUUUAAAAUUAUA